rnacentral:rRNA from 1 species
UGGUGGAGUGAUUUGUCUGCUUAAUUGCGUUAACGAACGAGACCUUAACCUGCUAAAUAGUUAUGCCAACUUUUGUUGGUAGUCAACUUCUUAGAGGGACUGUCGGCGACUAGCCGACGGAAGUUUGAGGCAAUAACA